GGGUCUGUAGCUCAUUGGUAGAGCAUUUGCUUAGCAUGCAUAAGGCCGGGGUUCCAUCCCCAGCACCCCA
rnacentral:tRNA from 1 species